UACGAAGGGGGCUAGCGUUGCCUCGGAAUCACUGGGCGUAAAGGGUGCGUAGGCGGGUCUGUAAGUCAGUGGUGAAAUCUCCAAGCUUAACUUGGAAACUGCCGUUGAUACUAUAGAUCUUGAAUGCUGUGGAGGUGAGCGGAAUAUGUCAUGUAGCGGUGAAAUGACUUAGAUAUGACAUAGAACACCAAUUGCGAAGGCAGCUCACUACCCAGAUAUUGACACUGAGGCACGAAAGCGUGGGGAUCAAACAGG
rnacentral:rRNA from 1 species